AUUGAACGCUGGCGGCAUGCCUUACACAUGCAAGUCGAACGGUAACGGGCCUUCGGGUGCCGACGAGUGGCGAACGGGUGAGUAAUACAUCGGAACGUGCCCGAUCGUGGGGGAUAACGAGGCGAAAGCUUUGCUAAUACCGCAUACGAUCUACGGAUGAAAGCAGGGGACCGCAAGGCCUUACGCGGACGGAGCGGCCGAUGGCAGAUUAGGUAGUUGGUGGGAUAAAAGCUUACCAAGCCGACGAUCUGUAGCUGGUCUGAGAGGAUGAUCAGCCACACUGGGACUGAGACACGGCCCAGACUCCUACGGGAGGCAGCAGUGGGGAAUUUUGGACAAUGGGCGCAAGCCUGAUCCAGCCAUGCCGCGUGCAGGAUGAAGGCCUUCGGGUUGUAAACUGCUUUUGUACGGAACGAAAAGCCUUCUUUUAAUACAGGAGGGUCAUGACGGUACCGUAAGAAUAAGCACCGGCUAACUACGUG
rnacentral:rRNA from 1 species